rnacentral:lncRNA from 1 species
UCGGGUUCUGCCCUGAUUUUGUCCUGGGACAGGAUUUCCUGCCGGACCCGCUUUCAGAAGAAACUGGUCUGCUGCCUCCUGUGCACUAGGAGGAGCCUCACACACACUCCUUGUUAUGGCUGGUGGAUCACCACUGCAAGACUCAGAGGAGCUUUCAUCUGAGGAUCUGACCCAAAGGGAGCUAAGUUCCAAAUAUCCGUCUAUGUAUCUACGUAGGCCGAAGGGAUCGGGGGCCGGAAAGAAAAAGCUACGCUCGCCCCCUGACCGCGGGGCUCUGGAGAAGAGGCCCUUCUGGGGUCCCUGCACUGGCCGGCUCCUGCUGCUCCUGGGAUUGGUC